GGUCAUGUGAUGAAAUGGAUAUCAUCUUCGACUUCUAAUCGAAAUUUCCGAGUUCGAUCCUCGGCAUGACUGUUGCCACGUG
rnacentral:tRNA from 1 species